GUGGGUGUAGCUCAGUUGGUAGAGCAUCAAACGUCUGCUCCAUCCUCGUCGCGUCCGCGAAUGCCGGUGUGGACUACAAUUUUACCCAUUGGAAGGUCGGGGGUUCGAGUCCCCCCACCCACC
rnacentral:tRNA from 1 species